rnacentral:rRNA from 1 species
UUAUUUGAGAGUUUGAUCCUGGCUCAGGACGAACGCUGGCGGCGUGCCUAAUACAUGCAAGUUGAGCGCUGAAGGUUGGUACUUGUACCGACUGGAUGAGCAGCGAACGGGUGAGUAACGCGUGGGGAAUCUGCCUUUGAGCGGGGGACAACAUUUGGAAACGAAUGCUAAUACCGCAUAACAACUUUAAACACAAGUUUUAAGUUUGAAAGAUGCAAUUGCAUCACUCAAAGAUGAUCCCGCGUUGUAUUAGCUAGUUGGUGAGGUAAAGGCUCACCAAGGCGAUGAUACAUAGCCGACCUGAGAGGGUGAUCGGCCACAUUGGGACUGAGACACGGCCCAAACUCCUACGGGAGGCAGCAGUAGGGAAUCUUCGGCAAUGGACGAAAGUCUGACCGAGCAACGCCGCGUGAGUGAAGAAGGUUUUCGGAUCGUAAAACUCUGUUGGUAGAGAAGAACGUUGGUGAGAGUGGAAAGCUCAUCAAGUGACGGUAACUACCCAGAAAGGGACGGCUAACUACGUGCCAGCAGCCGCGGUAAUACGUAGGUCCCGAGCGUUGUCCGGAUUUAUUGGGCGUAAAGCGAGCGCAGGUGGUUUAUUAAGUCUGGUGUAAAAGGCAGUGGCUCAACCAUUGUAUGCAUUGGAAACUGGUA